GAAUGCGUCUGGCAAAGCUCGUCUUAGGGCGUGGCUCGUUGGGCGCUUCCUAUUUUUGAGUAAUGGCCCUCUUGCUUCACGGCUUGGGGAUCACCGUUCUCAAUCGUUUAAUUGGAAAAAAUUUGAGUGUUCAAAGCAGGCCUAUAGGCCUUUAAAAAUUGCAGCCUGUGAUAAUAGAAUAUGACAUUGGUUUUAUUUUAUUGGUUUCUAGAGCUGAUGUA
rnacentral:rRNA from 1 species